ACACAUAUGCAGACAUCCCCAUCAUCAGCUCUCAGCGCCGCCGUCCAAUAAACACACACACACACACAAUCAAACACAGAUUGAAGAAUCAAUCUGCAUCUCUCUAUGAAUUCCUUCUCUACUCAAUUAAUUUUGAAUUUUUUUUUUAAAUAAAAAAACCCUAGCUUCUUCCUCAGCGCCUCUCUAUCCCCACAGCUCAGAUCUCUACUCAUCUCGCCUUCUUCAAACAGCACAC
rnacentral:lncRNA from 1 species